rnacentral:lncRNA from 1 species
UCGUGCCAAAAUAAGGAUAGGAUUGCAUAUUGGGGUUACAUACACCGGGUGGGUGCGCUCAACGCGCCCCCACUGGAAUGACAGAGGACAAGGGGUUAGCUCCCGACUGGCCUCUAUUUGUCAAAAUGAGUAAACUAAGACUACUGUUGAUUGCUUCAAUCGACAUUAGCCUCGGGGACUACACCCAAUGGGUGCGCUCAGCGCGCCACCACUGGAAAGAUGGAAGAAAGGAAAGGGCUCCAUAGCCUACUGGAUUCUGUCG